UCUGUGAGAAAAAGUGAAGGAAAGACAGAAAGUGUGUGUGUGUGUCUGUCAGUCUGUCUGUCUUUGUAUCUGUGUAUGUGUGCCCUCCCAGUAGCCUUUAUACUGUUCUCCUAAAUCAUUUAUGUAGACACUCAUCUCUCUCAGUACACAACGUCUUUGAUGAUGAGGUGCCCUUUGAUGACAACUGAAUUUAAUUUGCAUCUAAAAGACUAGAAAAUAUUGAAUUCAUGAUGAUCAACACAAUAUUGACUUCUAAGCAAUUACUGUAAUUAUGUAAAAUGUAAAACUUUGGACCACGUUCUGAAUAAUUCAAAAUGUAAACAGACUUAUUAAAUAUCAUCCAUUCAAUAUGGUAGAAUGUUAAAGGGGAAGUUUAGGAUUUUACAACUUGAUGUUAGAUGGCUCCUCACCCUGAAAGGAGAAACUGUAAUGCAUGGUUCGGUUUUCUUUAAACAGAGAAAACCGAACAUUCUAACAUCAAGUAGUAAAAUCUGGAACUUCCCCUUUAAAAUAUUCCAUGGCAGUGAACUAGCGUGAUUAGUCAUGCUGAAAGGAUGCUAAAUGAUGUGAUGUUUAAAUACGUUUUAAAAACACCACAGAGAUAGCUAUGCUCAGACAGCCCCCUUGGUAAAACAUAUUUGCAGUCACCCCAGCCAACUCUAUCAAAAAUCUUCUUCACCCAUCCCACACAAUCUGCAGCACAUUGGUCAUUUCUGUCUGCAGUCAAAGGUACAUGUUCUAGACAGGCAGCCACAAAAAUUGUUAAUAGAUAGCCCCUAUCUAUAGUAUGUACAAUCAUGUUUUAGCUUGGGUUGUGCCUAGUGUCUGUGAGUUCGAUGGUUAAUGUGUAACCCCCGCAACUAACUCAAUCUGGAGUCGUGGAGAUGCCCAGAGGAACAUUGCUCUUUGAUAAGCCAGCUGGUGUUGGGUGCUGAGUCACUGGACACACGACUGGACAAAUAGGUGACAAGUUAGCACACAUAAUGACAGUUUGACUGGGCCCACACCACCGCAGGACAACGCUGUGUCUGAACACUGUGUCUGAACAGCGCAUGUUGGACUGAGCAUAUUUGGACAUCACUUUUACAUCACUUGGUUGAACAACACUCAACUUGGGACUUACUACCACUACUAGUUGGUCGGAACACUGCUCAACUUGUUCUAAAUACUACUCCACUAUCUUGGUUGGACUACCACUCAACUUGGUCUGGCUACCGGUCAACGUGGUCUAAAAACUAUUUAACCAGCUUGGGCUGACUACCUCUGACCAGGUUUCAAACCCUGACCCGUCUUGAGUAGUAACCCUGCUUCAGGAGGUCAUGGAUGGUGGCUCUAAAGGACCCAGGGGUCAGCUCCUGCACCUGGAUGUUUGUGUGGAUGAGCAGAAGCCUCGCAGCGGUGUCCUAGAGCUCCUUGGGAGACUGAGGCCCCAGUGGAAGCCACAGGACAUCAAGAUGAAGGUGUUCACCGAGGGCAUCACCAACCAGCUCAUGGGCUGCUUCGUGGGCUCGCUCCAGGAGUUGGGGGCUGUGCUGGUGCGUGUGUACGGGAGGAUGACAGAGCUCUAUGUGGACCGGGAGAGAGAGGUGGAGAUGUUCAAGAUACUCCACAGUCACAACUGCGGCCCGCAGAUCUACUGCAGCUUCCAGAACGGCAUCUGCUACGAGUUUGUGAGGGGGACCGUGUUGGACAACACACUGCUCACACAGCCUGCCAUCUAUAGAUUGAUUGCAACAGAAAUGGGAAAAAUCCACUCGAUCAAGCUUGAAUCGGACCCUGUGGAGAAUAUUCUGUGGAAGAAGAUGGCCCAGUUUCUCAAACUUGUCCAUAAUGCUCAGAGCAACACACCAGCACCACAUAGUUCCAAACUGCUGCAAGAGAUCCCGAGCAUCGAAACCCUGUCAGAUGAAAUGGAGACGCUGAAAAGACACCUCUCUCAGAUCGGCUCGCCGACCGUGCUGUGUCACAACGACCUCCUGACUAAAAAUAUAAUCUACGACAACAAAGAGGGCAUGGUGAGAUUCAUUGACUAUGAGUAUGCUGAUUUUAACUACCAGGCCUUCGACAUAGGCAACCAUUUCAAUGAGUUUGCAGGUACGAGUGACACUGACUACAGCCUGUAUCCCAGUCCUGAACUGCAGAGGGAUUGGUUGACUGCUUACCUUGAGAGCUACAAGCACAGUGUGGGGCUGGAGGCCACAGUUACAGAACGAGAGGUCCAGAAGCUCUAUGUUCAAGUCUGCAAGUUCUCACUGGCCUCCAACUUCUUCUGGGGUCUCUGGGCAAUCCUGCAGGCCAGAUACUCCUCCAUUGAUUUUGACUUUGAAAGAAGCAGCAGUCGCCACUGUGCUGACGUUAACCACUAUUGACAAACGGCACCCUCCUCUCUGUGUGGCUUUGCUGUCCGCUCUGUGGAUCAGUGACAAGGGCCCCACCACUUUUCUAUCGGAACUUUGGAGGAAAUGCGAUCCAGCAGGAGCAGAUGGAACAGAGGCAGUAUUGUUCCAGUCUCAUUGGUCUUCCCUGUCUGUCUCUCAUCCCUGGUUCGGCUAUAUGUAGCUGUUAGCCUGUCUAGCCCCACUAAGCUCCAGGCACAAGUUGCCCCAAAGUGCAUAGCAAGGGUCAGAUUACAUCCCUAUACCCCAAAUCUAAGGUUAACCAUAACAAGGUGGAAAACAACAGUGAGUUUGCACCAGCCACUUACAGGGUAAAGUCCCCCUCUAGAGCCUCCAGAAGACAGCCUAUGUCCUAGACUGGGAGAAGGAGGGUCCUCGUGAUGGAGGUUUGUUGGGGUGUUUCUCUCUGUGCCCAUUUACUUGUUGCGUUAUCCCUUUGAGCCAAAUCUCUGCUGACUACUCAACGAGUGACAGGCAACUGCUAGGCCUCACACUUAACCAAAGCCACAUGUGCAUGUGAUUUUAGGGAGCCGCAAGGGGAAUGCAUGAACUCCACCCUCCCUGCCUCCCAUCCUACCGUUGAUAUUGACUUUAUUUAUUUUUUGUUUCACUUGUAUCUGCUAGGCAGCGGUUGAGUUUGUGAAUAUAUUGGCAAGGCAGCGGUUAUUCCAUACUUCCAAAGCCAAAUUGACGAAGACAUUAUUAUGAGGAAAUGAGUAAGAGGCCCACUGUUUGGAAUGGUUCGAGUGAAGAAAAUGGGGACAUGGACAAAAGCACAUUGUGGAAUGGUAUGCCAUGGCCCGAUUCGACUACUACUUUGAGAAGAAGGAAGAAUACUUUGGAUUGACUCUUAGUUAGAAAACUGAGCCCGAAGAAAUGUAAACAGUUGCAGUCUGCUGCAUCUUUAUUUUAAUUUAAGAUAGUAUUUUUAUCUAUACAUAAUGUUGAAAUGUUGCAAAAGAAUGCGGGCAAUAUAACCAUGUGAGUUUCCAGAAAAUGUACACUUGAUUGUUACAGUUACUCAAUGUUUUGGUGUAAUUCCAACUGAUUCUCAAAAUAUUUGUUUUACCACAGUGAGUAUGGAGAUAACCUCCUUUGGAAAAUUGAGAUGGCUUCCAGGCCAGAAAGCCGUUAAUUUAUAUUUAGCCAAGUUACUCAAAGCCACAAGAACUAAGACUAAAAUCAUAAGACGAUUAUUUGCAGGCUCAUUCAACAUUAAGCUCAGUUGGGACAUUUUUUUAAAUGUCCACUGGCAUGGAUUUUAACAUCAGUGUUGUAUUAUUUCAAGAUGGUAUUACCAUCAUGCUCUGCUUCCAUUGUUUUGUUAGAGGAUUGCUUUCAUUUGUUGCCCAAAAUAUGACUAUUAGAUAAAUAAAUAGUUCAUACAAUGUACAUUGAACAGUAUAUUGUACAGUAUAUACUGCAGCAUGCAUAGGCAAGUGUUUUUGCUGAACUCCACUUCAGUACAAAUCAUUACAAUUGCAUAAAAAGCUGGAGGGUG